rnacentral:rRNA from 2 species
GUACGGCGAGUGAAGCGGCAACAGCUCAAAUUUGAAAUCUGGCCUCUUUGGGGUCCGAGUUGUAAUUUGUAGAGGAUGUUUCGGGUACCGCCCCGGUCUAAAUUUCUUGGAACAGAAUGUCAUAGAGGGUGAGAAUCCCGUCUUGGACCGGCGGUAGGGCCCAUGUGAAACUCCUUCGACGAGUCGAGUUGUUUGGGAAUGCAGCUCAAAUUGGGUGGUAAAUUUCAUCUAAAGCUAAAUACCUGCCAGAGACCGAUAGCGCACAAGUAGAGUGAUCGAAAGAUGAAAAGCACUUUGAAAAGAGAGUUAAACAGUAUGUGAAAUUGUUGAAAGGGAAGCGCUUACAACCAGACUUGAGCGCGGCGGUUCCCCCUUCCUUCUGGUUGGGUUAUUCCGUCGUGUCCAGACCAACAUCGGUUCUGGGGGCCGGUUAAAGGCUCUGGGAAUGUACCUACUCCUUCGGGUGUAGACUUAUAGCCCAGGGUGUCAUGCGGCCUCCCGGAACCGAGGAACGCGCUUCGGCUCGGAUGUUGGUGCAAUGGUUGUCAGCGACCCG